GGGGGCGAAUUGGAUUCGACCGGGCAGGUUGAGGUGUCGGUGGCGUGCCGUGGUUGGUCAGUUGGCCACGAUAAAAGCUGACCGUGAAAGUUAUCUGCCGAAGAUAGCUACGCUCUCGCUGCCUAAUUAGAGCAGCGCCGACUGCGGACUUUCGCCGGAGAAGUCCAAAAGUCGGUCACCAAUUCCGGAUCGCCGCGAGUCAACGCUGGGAACGUUCGCGGUUAAACAAGUGCCUGGCUAGCCGGUAACGACCUUGUCGGAUGGGGCGUGAAUGGCGAAGGCGUAAAUAGUUCGACUACGCACGUAGAGGCCGCCGCUGAAAUGUCACGGGACGCGGGUUCGAUUCCCGCCGCCUCCACUG
rnacentral:tmRNA from 1 species